AUUUUUUUAAUAUAAGAAGUAUAUCUGAUUUCCAAUCAGAAAGUCUAGAUUUUUAGAAAAAAUA
rnacentral:tRNA from 1 species